rnacentral:rRNA from 1 species
GUAGGGUGCGAGCGUUAAUCGGAAUUACUGGGCGUAAAGCGUGCGCAGGCGGCUUUGCAAGACAGAUGUGAAAUCCCCGGGCUCAACCUGGGAACUGCAUUUGUGACUGCAAGGCUAGAGUACGGCAGAGGGGGAUGGAAUUCCGCGUGUAGCAGUGAAAUGCGUAGAUAUGCGGAGGAACACCGAUGGCGAAGGCAAUCCCCUGGGCCUGUACUGACGCUCAUGCACGAAAGCGUGGGGAGCAAACAGGAUUAGAUACCCUGGUAGUCCCACGCCCCUAAACGAUGUCAACUGGUUGUUGGACGGCUUGCUGUUCAGUAACGAAGCUAACGCGUGAAGUUGACCGCCUGGGGAGUACGGCCGCAAGGUUG